GAAGGAGCUGGACAGUGCUUUUUUUUCAUCAUCAUCAGAGCUCAGAGGUAUCCAACGUGUGCAGUCACGGGCCUUGUUCACAUAACAUGUCUAGCACAACGGUGUAAACUCGUGUUCUUGCAAUGGUCGAUGCAAUAUUCAAUGCAAUGAGAAUUUCUCAUUGAUUGAGAAUCUAUCUGUAUUGAAGCUUGUCAAAACUGCUAUAACUGUGAAACUAUUGAAAUCUAAAGUGACAUUGAAUACAUGCGAAAAGCUGAAAAUGACUCGUGAAACACAACUUGAUCUUUGGGAAUAUAAAGUCAAAGGUGAAUGUUCUUGUUAUUGUGUGAACAUGUCACAAUUAGGUUAAAAUGCGGAUGCGGAACGGAUCGAAUCCACCGAGCAGAUGCGGAACGGAUACCGUAAACCUCCGAUUAAGCAGCGAUUACUGGGCU